rnacentral:rRNA from 1 species
GCGACCCCAGGUCAGCGGGAUUACCCGCUGAGUUUA